UGUAAUGUAGUGUGGCCAAAAGCAUAAUUAAAGCUGUGAGAUUUGUGCACUAAACACAAGCUAAGCUGGCAUGUAUUUUAACGCUCUUCAGUGUCAACAUAUUUUGGCCAGGAAUCGAGGUGAUCAUCAGAUGGACAUGUCAUUUAGUUAGUUUAUUUAUCGAUUAAUUCUUUGGUUUGAGUAGAUCUUUCAGCACUAAUUCCACAAUUCGACAGUAUAGGAAAAAAGCUAGGAACUAAAGUGGUGCCAAUAUCCGUAAAUUAGAGGUAUCUUUUCUUGGACAUGGUUGGUGUUUAAAAAGGAAAACAUCACAGGAGGGCCUCUCUCAGCAUGUCAUAUCACAUAUAAUAUAAAUAAUAUGGGAAAUAAAGUCCUGUACAUCCUACUUUUUUCAGGUGGAAGCCUGAAAGAAACCUCAGGUGCGAAACAAACACAAAAUUACAGAAUAAAGAUAUAUAUGGAUAUUUAUUGCCUUAAUUAUGGAAGACCAGUUGAUUACCUCUUGAAACUGAAGACACAUGGGUGUACAUUAAUCUUAAAAAUAAAAUAACAAAACUUAGGAAGUGGUUGUAAAUGGAGUGAAUGUCGAGAAUGGUCUGGACUGUUGUUAGAUUCCUGGCCUGGAUUAUUACCCCAGUGUCAUGACUCCUAUCAGAGCAGCUCCUCCCUUCACUUUGUUUUGUUGUCUUUUUCCCCGUGUUUGUCUGAUCCUCAUGGCUCCCCCUCCGCUGUCUGUGUUUUCUGUGCAUGGGCGUGGCUAACUCUCUCUGCAGGAAGAGCCAGGUGAUUCCACUUCCACUAAUCAACCACUCCAUAAAGCCUCUGGACCUUCAGUCACUUGUCUCCAGAUCAUGCUCUCAGCCAUGGUGGUGAUUCAUCUUGUCUCCUGCCUGCUUGACUGUAUGCCUGCCAAUCUACUACUCCUCCCUGUUGGUGUUUUGAGCUCUCGCUGCUUGCCUGCCUGUCGGUGCUCCGGUGCUUCCCUGUCCCAGCCGUGAGCCUUUCACCGUGUGACGAGAUCACCAACGGGACGCGGACCGUGUGGACACACGGAGUACGCCGAACAAAGGGGCUUCACUCACGGCCACCGCCACUUCACCUCACGGACCCCGAGAUUCUCCAGCGCGUCACUUCUUUCCCCCUUGCACUAUUAUUAAUUCACGUGUCACAAAUAAAUAUUGACUUUCAAUUGACUUUCCAGAGUCUGAGUCGUGCAUUUGGGUUCGAUCUCUGUUGUUAUCAUAACAGAAUGAUCUGGCCCCAACCAUGAAUCCAGCCGACUCAGAAUCUGAUCCACAGGUCACAAGCCUCUGCCACACUGUUUCCAGUCAGGGGGCGCUAUUGGGACAGCACGAUCAAUCUCUCCGUGGAACAAUGGGAGCCCUGUCUGACCUGGCUGCCGGCUUCGCUCGAGUGGAAAGACAACUCCAGAUUCCUCCUCCGCCGACACCGGGUCCAGAUCCACUUCCAGCAGUCCCAGCCCUGUGAGCCCUACGUACCCAAACCUGAAUGCUAUGAGGGUCAUUUAGGUGACUGUAAAUCAUUCCUCUUCCAAUGUUCCCUCAUAUUUGAGCUAUAGCCCCUGACUUAAACGACCAAGCUAAAAUAGCUUAUGUGUUGGGGUUGGGUUCUAGAUCUUGGGGUACUGCUUUUUGGCACAGCCCUCACAAUGCUUAAUGCCACCUUUUUGAUGAAUUCUCUGCUGAAAUGUCCUCUGCAUUUGACCACCCUGUAGCCAGUAGCGAUGCUAGCAACCAUCUGCUUAGCCUUAGGCAAGGUUCCCUUAGCACCGCUAACUACUCAGUGGAGUUUUGUACAUUAGCCACAGAGCUGGGGUGGGAUAAGGCUUUGCAGAGCAUCUUUAUGAGGGGGUUAAACGAGGCAAUUAAGGACAGUAUAGUGGGACGAGCCAAGACUUCAGACCUGCAGGCGCUAAUAGCUUUAGAUAUCAAGGUGGACAACAGACUGAGAAAGACGCGGGGAGAAAUUGCAGGUUCCCCAAACUAGUUUCAGGGGAGCAACCACGUCCGGAUUCUCACACCAACCCUCGGAAACUAAGACCACUGACUCCAGCAGUCCUGAGUCAAGAACUGAUGCAGCUGGGGCGGAGCUGACUCUCAUCCACCGAGCGGAACCGAAGGUUUAAAAACCAGAGGCCUCACCAGUCACAGACAGGGUCCUGACCCUGCCUCUCCCCCCUGCUCUGCAUUACCUGUUGGUUUGCUCCACCUGACCUGCUUCCCCCCUUACUCACCUGCUCCUCAUCCGCUAAUCAGCCCCCUCAGUAUUUCUACUGAGCCUGUUCCCUCAGUUCUUUGCCAGAUUGUCUAGUGUGUUAACCUAGCUCUCCAGCGUUCUGUAUUUUGAUUCUGAUCCUGCCUGUUUGUGAUUUGACCUGCCUUUUGGACUUUGGACUCUCCCUCUUGCCUGCUCCCUUUGGAUUUGUUUGCUUUGCUGACUGACUACCUGGUUUGACCUUCGCUUGAUAUUAAAACAUAUUUUUGCAACUGAACUGUUUUUUGCGUCGUGCUAUUGGGUUCCUGCCUGCCAUUUUGUGAAGCCUGAUAAGACUAGUAUCUUCCUGAAAGGAAAUGCCCACAAACUGGAGGUUCUGGUUCUGACUCUAACUUACACAAUGAGGAAUUUGUCAAACACUAUCAGAUCGCCACUGAACUCAUUAAUCCUCCACUUAAAGUAAACGCCCUUAACAGGGAAUUACUAGCCCUCAUUUCUGAAUGUACUCCACAGCUACCUCUCCUAUUGGCAGGUAACCGUAGAGAAAGUUUUGUUUCAUGUAAUGCCUUUCUCUCAGGCUCUCCUACUGCUUGGGUUGCCCUGGCUUACAAAACACAAUCCUGUGACUGACUGGGUUACAGGGAGGGUGGUUAGCUGGAGUUCAUUUUGCCAUUCGCCAUGCCUGAAUUCAGCUCAGUCUCCUUGUGCUCUAAACUGUGAUGCACCACCAGAAUCUCCCAACGUGUCUGCUGUGCCUUCCGUCUAUCACGACCUAGCGGAGGUUUUCAGCAAACACAAGGCCGUGUCUUUACCUCCUCACAGACCAUACGACUGUGCCAGUGAUCUUCUGCCUGGAGCCUCCUUCCCUACCAGUCAACUCGAUAACCUCUCAGCCCCAGAACGAGAAGCCAUGGAGAAACAUAUCUCUGAAUCAUUGCACUCUGGUAUCAUUCUACCCUCUUCAUCUCCACUGGGAGCUGGGUUUUUCUUUGUAGCCAAAAAAAGAUAAGACCUUGCAGCCCUGUAUUGACUUUUGGGGUCUAAACAAUGUUACAGUCAAGAACAAAUAUCUUCUGCCUCUCAAACUCUGCUUUUGAGCUUCUCCAUGGUGCUACUAUCUUCUCCAAGCUUGACUUGCGUAACACUUACCACAUAGUCCACAUCAGAGAUGGGGACGAAUGGAAGACUGCCUUUAAUACACCCUUUGAUUACUUUAAAUGUCUGGUGAUGCCGUUUGGGCUCAUUUAUGCCCCAGCAGUUUUUAAAGCGUUUGUCAAUGAUGUGCUAAGAGACUUUCUGAAUCACUCAGUUUUUGUGAACCUCGACGAUAUCCUGAUUUUCUCAAAGAACCUUGAAGAGCACAUUGUGCGGCAAGUCCUUCAGAGGUUGUGGGAAAAUAAACUGUUCGUCAAACAAGAAAAAUAUGAAUUUCAUGAUGCAUCAGUGACCUUCCUAGGUUACAUCCUGGAGGGUGGAUAGGUGUGACCCGAUCCAGUCAAGGUCCAGUCAGUCACGGAGUGGCCACAGCCCAACUCACGGAAACAGAUCCAGAGAUUCCUGGGCUUCACCAGCUUCUACAGGCGAUUCAUGAGGAACUACAGGUAGUUGCUUCCCUCACGAAACUAACCCCUCUGUCUGUUCCUUUUGUGUGGUCUCCCGCAGCUGAGGAGGCAUUCGGUGAGCUGAGGAGAAGUUUUUCCUCAGCCCCCAUACUUGUGCAGCCUGAUCCAUCUCGUCAGUUCAUUGUUGAACGCUUCGGACCUUGACAUAGGAGCAGUCCUAUCUCAGAUAGCCAAAGAAGACAACAAGCUAGGAAACUUUCUCUAGCCAAAAAAAAAUACAACGUCGGCAACAGGGAGCUGUUAGCUGUUAAGCUAGCCCUGGAGGAGUGGCGUCACUGGCUGGAGGGAGCAGAACCACCAUUUACGCUAUGGACGGAUCACAAAAACCUGGCAUACAUUCAGACUGUUAAAUGGUUAAACUCCCGACAGGCUCGUUGGGCUCUUUUUUUUUUUUUUUUUUUUUUGGACAAUU